GACGUAGGGGGCCAGCGUUGUUCGGAAUUACUGGGUGUAAAGGGUUCGUAGGCGGUGUAGCAAGUCGGGAGUGAAAUCUCUGGGCUUAACCCAGAGGCUGCUUCCGAAACUGCUGUGCUUGAGUGUGGGAGAGGCGCGUGGAAUUGCAGGUGUAGCGGUGAAAUGCGUAGAUAUCUGCAGGAACACCCGUGGCGAAAGCGGCGCGCUGGACCACUACUGACGCUGAGGAACGAAAGCUAGGGGAGCAAACGGG
rnacentral:rRNA from 1 species